rnacentral:misc_RNA from 1 species
GAAUAUCUCCUUCUUCCAACUUUUUUAAUUAAAAGUCUUUGGACAGAAGGGUGCCUGGGCUUGCAUGUAAGUUUACUCAUGCUUGCCUUAAAUGCAUUAGCUGGUACUUCAGUAGAGUUGUUAAGUAACAUUGAAAACUCUUGUAAUCGAAGUCUGCUUCAUAAUCAUCUCAUUUAGGUGAGAUACAUUUCUA